UACGUAGGGUGCAAGCGUUGUCCGGAAUUAUUGGGCGUAAAGAGCUCGUAGGCGGUCUGUCACGUCUGCUGUGAAAACUCGGGGCUUAACCCCGGGCCUGCAGUGGGUACGGGCAGACUAGAGUUCGGUAGGGGAGACUGGAAUUCCUGGUGUAGCGGUGAAAUGCGCAGAUAUCAGGAGGAACACCGGUGGCGAAGGCGGGUCUCUGGGCCGAAACUGACGCUGAGGAGCGAAAGCGUGGGGAGCAAACAGG
rnacentral:rRNA from 1 species